AACGAACGCUGGCGGCAGGCCUAAAACAUGCAAGUCGAACGAUCUAGCAAUAGAUAGUGGCGCACGGGUGAGUAACACGUGGGAAUAUCCCUUUCACUACGGAACAACGUCGGGAAACUGACGCUAAUACCGUAUAAUGUCUCCGGACCAAAGAUUUAUCGGUGAAAGAUUAGCCCGCGUCUGAUUAGCUAGUUGGUGAGGUAACGGCUCACCAAGGCAACGAUCAGUAGCUGGUCUGAGAGGAUGAUCAGCCACACUGGAACUGAGACACGGUCCAGACUCCUACGGGAGGCAGCAGUUAGGAAUAUUGGACAAUGGGGGCAACCCUGAUCCAGCCAUGCCGCGUGUGUGACGAAGGCCUUAGGGUUGUAAAGCACUUUCGUCUACGAAGAUAAUGACAGAGCCCCAGAGGAAGCACGGGCUAAGUUCGUGCCAGCCGCCGCCGUAA
rnacentral:rRNA from 1 species